AACGCAUAUUGCGCCCUCUGGUAUUCCGGUGGGCAUGCCUGUUCGAGCGUCAUUGAACACCCCUCAAGCUCCGCUUGGUGUUGGGCGCCCGUCGCGGGAGCGACGCGCCCGAAAUGAAUAUUGGCUGCGGGGUCCCACUCCGAGCGCUGCGAGGCGUACCAACGUCAUGCGUUACGGAGGAGGGCCUGGCGGGGCCAGCAAACAACAAGGUGCGCCGCUCUGCGGUGCCACUCCUCGUUUGACCUCGGAUCAGGUAGGGUUACCCGCUGAACUUAA
rnacentral:misc_RNA from 1 species